rnacentral:rRNA from 1 species
UGGGGAAUAUUGGACAAUGGGCGCAAGCCUGAUCCAGCCAUGCCGCGUGGAUGAUGAAGGCCCUAGGGUUGUAAAGUCCUUUUAACGGGGAAGAUAAUGACGGUACCCGUAGAAUAAGCCCCGGCUAACUUCGUGCCAGCAGCCGCGGUAAUACGAAGGGGGCUAGCGUUGCUCGGAAUUACUGGGCGUAAAGCGCACGUAGGCGGACCGAUAAGUCGGGGGUGAAAUCCUGGAGCUCAACUCCAGAACUGCCUUCGAAACUGCCGGUCUUGAGUUCGGGAGAGGUUGGUGGAACUGCGAGUGUAGAGGUGAAAUUCGUAGAUAUUCGCAAGAACACCAGUGGCGAAGGCGGCUCACUGGCCCGAUACUGACGCUGAGGUGCGAAAGCGUGGGGAGCAAACA